UACAGAGGUCUCAAGCGUUGUUCGGAUUCAUUGGGCGUAAAGGGUGCGUAGGCGGCGGGGUAAGUUGGAUGUGAAAUUCUGGGGCUCAACCCCAGACCUGCAUUCAAUACUGCCUUGCUAGAGCACUGAAGAGGAGACUGGAAUUUACGGUGUAGCAGUGAAAUGCGUAGAUAUCGUAAGGAAGACCAGUGGCGAAAGCGAGUCUCUGGGCAGUUGCUGACGCUGAGGCACGAAGGCCAGGGGAGCAAACGGG
rnacentral:rRNA from 1 species